rnacentral:misc_RNA from 1 species
GAUGAAGAACGUAGCGAAAUGCGAUAAGUAGUGUGAAUUGCAGAAUUCAGUGAAUCAUCGAAUCUUUGAACGCACAUUGCGCCCGCCAGUAUUCUGGCGGGCAUGCCUGUCCGAGCGUCAUUUCAACCAUCAAGCCCCCGGGCUUGUGUUGGGGACCUGCGGCUGCCCGCAGGCCCUGAAAACCAGUGGCGGGCUCGCUGUCACACCGAGCGUAGUAGCAAUCACCUCGCUCAGGGCGUGCUGCGGGUUCCGGCCGUUAAACAGCCUUACAAAACCCAAGGUUGACCUCGGAUCAGGUAGGAAGACCCGCUGAACUUAAGCAUAUCAAUAAGCGGAGGA